UGGGGAAUAUUGGACAAUGGGCGAAAGCCUGAUCCAGCCAUGCCGCGUGUGUGAAGAAGGUCUUCGGAUUGUAAAGCACUUUAAGCUGGGAGGAAGGGCAGUAAGCGAAUACCUUGCUGUUUUGACGUUACCGACAGAAUAAGCACCGGCUAACUCUGUGCCAGCAGCCGCGGUAAUACAGAGGGUGCAAGCGUUAAUCGGAAUUACUGGGCGUAAAGCGCGCGUAGGUGGUUCGUUAAGUUGAAUGUGAAAGCCCCGGGCUCAACCUGGGAACUGCAUCCAAAACUGGCGAGCUAGAGUAGGGCAGAGGGUGGUGGAAUUUCCUGUGUAGCGGUGAAAAGCGUAGAUAUAGGAAGGAACACCAGUGGCGAAGGCGACCACCUGGGCUCAUACUGACACUGAGGUGCGAAAGCGUGGGGAGCAAACAGG
rnacentral:rRNA from 1 species